rnacentral:rRNA from 1 species
UACAUGGGGUGCAAACGUUGCUCGGAAUCAUUGGGCGUAAAGCGCGCGUAGGCGGUUAUUUAAGUUGGAUGUGAAAGCCCUCGGCUUAACUGAGGAAGUGCAUCCAAAACCGAAUAGCUAGAGUACGAAAGAGGGUCGCGGAAUUCCCGGUGUAGAGGUGAAAUUCGUAGAUAUCGGGAGGAACACUGGUGGCGAAGGCGGCGACCUGGGUCGAGACUGACGCUGAGGCGCGAAAGCGUGGGGAGCAAACAGG